GACGUAGGGCGCGAGCGUUGUCCGGAUUUAUUGGGCGUAAAGAGCUCGUAGGCGGUCUGUCGCGUCGAUCGUGAAAACUUGGGGCUUAACCCUGAGCUUGCGGUCGAUACGGGCAUGACUGGAGUUCGGCAGGGGAGACUGGAAUUCCUGGUGUAGCGGUGAAAUGCGCAGAUAUCAGGAGGAACACCGGUGGCGAAGGCGGGUCUCUGGGCCGAUGACUGACGCUGAGGAGCGAAAGCGUGGGGAGCGAACAGG
rnacentral:rRNA from 1 species